CGCACAUUGCGCCCCUUGGUAUUCCACUGGGCAUGCCUGUUCGAGCGUCAUCUACCACCUCAAGCUUUGCUUGGUGUUGGGUGUUUGUCCCCGCGUGCGCGGACUCGCCUUAAAUACAUUGGCAAUCGCUAUGCCGGCCUCCUACGCAGCAGUUUGCGCUCUCAAGGAGCUUCCAGCAGGCGUUCCACCAAGACCACCAGUCUUUGACCUCGAAUCAGGUAGGGAUACCCGCUGAACUUAA
rnacentral:misc_RNA from 1 species